GCAGUGGUGGUUCAGUGGUAGGAUUCUCACCUUACAUGUGGGGGACCUGGUUUGAUUCCCAGCCAGUGCU
rnacentral:tRNA from 1 species